rnacentral:rRNA from 1 species
GAUGAACGCUGGCGGCGUGCCUAAUACAUGCAAGUCGAGCGAACAGAUGAGGAGCUUGCUCCUCUGACGUUAGCGGCGGACGGGUGAGUAACACGUGGAUAACCUACCUAUAAGACUGGGAUAACUACGGGAAACCGGAGCUAAUACCGGAUAAUAUAUUGAACCGCAUGGUUCAAUAGUGAAAGACGGUUUUGCUGUCACUUAUAGAUGGAUCCGCGCCGCAUUAGCUAGUUGGUAAGGUAACGGCUUACCAAGGCAACGAUGCGUAGCCGACCUGAGAGGGUCAUCCGCCAAACUGGAACGGAGACACGGUACACACUCCUACGGGGGGCAGCAGUAGGGAAUCUUACGCAAUGGGCGAAAGCGUGACGGAGCAACGCCGCGUGAGUGAUGAAGGUCUUCGGAUCGUAAAACUCUGUUAUUAGGGAAGAACAAAUGUGUAAGUAACUAUGCACGUCUUGACGGUACCUAAUCAGAAAGCCACGGCUAACUACGUG